UAGUGGGACGAGUACUCAUUGCGGUAAUUCAUACUUCUCUAGAGAAUCUUGUUUUAUUAGAUGAUAUUGCUUCAAUUUUUUGGUUGACCAGUGUAGAUUGUUUACUUGGUUCUUGUUUUUCUUGGAUUGGUGUGCCGAUUUUAGCCGGGCAUAAUUUGUAGAUAUUGUUUAUUCUAAUUUGCAGUAGAUUUUUAGUUCUUUAUUUUGCCAAUAAUAAAUCCAAGAGCAGCUAAACACUAGGAAUUUUGGAUUCCUGCACCAUCAACAAGCUGCUUGAAUAUUCAACCCUCACAACGAGUUGAAUUGGCAUGGUAAAGGGGUUCUUAUCAAAACUUGGAUUUUCCAAAAUUUUCCAAAACUGAGGGUCAAAUUAUGGACUUAUCUAUAAUUGCUGGACUGUGGCAAGGACAUGGAAUUAUUAU
rnacentral:misc_RNA from 1 species